AGACCUUCACUUUGUGUUACCAACACCAAAUCCAGAAGAGACAUCAGGAAGUGUCAUCUGACAGUAUCAGCAGAUGUGAACUAAUUUGGAUGGGGUUUUCUGAAGAAGGCAGGGAACUGCAGAAAGGAAAAUGAUGGACUUAUGGUGAAGCCAACUGAAGUGCCUCUGGAGACAACUGAACAUCUGUCAGGAUCUGGUGAAUAGAAGUGAGGAAAGGAUUUUUUUAAGACCAUGGGAGUGGGGAAGAAUGUUGCUACAUGCACCCAGUCUUUGUGAUCUGACAGCCACAAGACUCAAAAGGGUCCAAUUUUCUUUUCAUAUGGGAUGUGUGUUUUGCACACAUUGUAAUUUGUGGUUUGAGGAUAAAAGAACCAAGAGCAACAUUUGAAACUGUGGACUCUAUUCAUUUUGAUUACCUCAUAUUUCAGGGAUGCAGAGCUGGUCAGGCAGAAGCAGGGUCAAAAAGUGAAGCUAUUUUUGGUUGUACAACACAAGUGAAUUAGGUGUUAUCUCUAAGAUAAAGGUAACUGUUGUAUCAGUGAAAAGUGAUAGCACUCUGAGUCUAUUAUGUACUAUCUUGUAUUGCUUUGCCAUGCAACCCAGCUCUGCUAUUGAAAAGGCCUUCUCUUUUGAUAUGCUUCUGUUCUUGAUCUCCUGAAAGAACCUCAGGGUGGUCACUGGGACUGUCAUGGAAAUUAGUAACAUGGCUGAUUUGGUCAAUGAGAAGAAAACAACUGUUUAAAGGGUAAAGCUGAUAUGGAUAGAAAAAGAAUAAGUCUGAAGAAGAUACGAUCUCUGCAACAAGCUCCAAACAAACUACAUUUGUUCCAGAGGUAAACUCUCUAGCCCAAAGCCUGAAAAAAGUUUUAUUCAAAAUUAAUGCUUUUUGUCUACUGCUCUUUAGCAAAUCUCAGUCCAUUGUGCCAGUCUGCCUUUUAUCCUAAAACUCUCCAGCUUUGAUGUUAAGGUUAUAGUUUUUGAACACCAGCUGUCACCCAUGACAUCCAUUGUUUUUAUUACAAUGCUUGGGUUGCAAGAAAAAAAUUGACAUUUUUUUCCACAAAGAUUGUUACAAAUCUCCAAACGAGAUGUAUGUCUCUCUCUCUCUCUGCUCUGUCAUCUCCUAGGAACUGUCUAGUGCUAUAUGCAUUUUUAAGGGUGGGAGUUGGAUAGGGGGAGGGUGGAGAAAGGGGAUCAACAAACCUGCCAAAACAAAUAAUUGUAUAAGAUCACUUGCUUUCUUUGGGUAUUAAAUAGUGGGAAGGACAGCAGGGGUGCAGAGUGCUGAAUGAGGAUGAGAAUAAAGGAGUGUGGAGAAUACAGCCGGGGUAGGGCAAAGGGAAGUGGAGAGAGCUAUUAAAGAAAGGUAACUGAAAAUGUGAGAUGUAAAAAAGUACAACCCUGAGAAUAAUCAAUAGUAGGAAGCUAAGAGACUUCAUUUUAACCCUAAAACCAGGACAUGGGGAGGUUGUAACUAUUUAUACUAUAGAUCCUUUAAUAAUAUAUGAAUUGAAUGCAACAUACGAUCUUCAUUGUUAAUACAGCCUUAAAGUGCUGCUUUGCUGAGAAACCAUCCAGCCACUAGUCCAUUUAUUUUUCUCCUGAACUAAGAGCAAGGUUCUGUUUAAAGAGGCAGCUCAGGAAGCCAUCGUCUCCAUGUGCAAUUGAGAUACUCUGGACUUCUUACAGCAGGGGGUCUUAAUAAGAGUGUUUCCUUUAAGGGUGCCAUUAAGCCACGGUAGUCUUCCUUUCAUUUCUUCAAAUAAACCUUUCCAAUAAAAUCCUAUUUUAAGCAACCAUGCAUGGGUGUGAGUGUUUAAGAGGAGUGGCUUUUAUUCUGACAAAAAUAGCCUCUGAACUGCAUGACAGACCAACCAUUUAAAUGUUUUUUUUUCUGUUUUUGUGCAAUUGCCAUGCAGUCCCAUUGAUCCAUGUGAGGUUCUACAUGCUUUCUGGAUUGAUUUUUGUAAUGCAUCCUUUCCUCUUAGCCCCUACCCCAGCUUACUUGUGUCUCCUAACCUUUGGAGCCCUUUACUUUGGUACAGUGUGAACUCCUAGUUGUCCAUUGUAAAACCCAACGCAUUUUGUAAAAAUGUAAGAAUACUUCCAGCUCCUUCUACUGUAGAAAUGCAUUCCUUAAGCCAUUUUUAACAUAUAAGAAGCAUUGGUGUCCAUCUAGAUAUCACUAUUUGUUAAGCUGUUCCUGAGCUUAUGCAUAUAAGGUUGUCUACCAUAGACCAUCACAAAGGGCGAUUCUAUACCACCAUAAUCUCUUGAGACCUGUUUUGCUGUUGCUUCAGAACAUUUUUAGUCAUUUUCAGUAGGGUGUUAUUCCAUCUGGGUAGCAUUUUAUAUCCACUUUGCUUGUGAUAUGUGACUAUGCACAGGGCAAGGCAGUGGAGAAUCAGGGCCUCUGUGCCUUUUUUUUUUCUGAUGCAUUAAGUGGGAAGAGUAAUUAAUGCUUAUCUCAGACAAUUGCUAAUACUUAUGAAGCUAAAGAUGCUUAAUUAAAAGGAGCUAUAGUAAAGCAAAGUGUAAUAGUUUUUUUUUAAAGUUCCUUCUUUAUUUUCUUG